rnacentral:lncRNA from 1 species
AUGCCAGCCCCAGCCGCAGGACCUCCGACCCCUUUGGCGCUGCCCGCUUCAGCCUGGCGCAGUCCAUGUUUGGCAUGGGGGUCGGCCCCCACGACAGCGAUGACGACAGGUAGGGAGGGGGCUUUGGGACGACGGCUGGAGGGAGGACCUGGAAGGGGAGGGAUGCCAAGGGUGUGUGUGUGGGGGGGGAGGAACCGCCCCCCCACCCCCAGUUGUGCUGUGGAGCAAGGAAGCCUUAGCCCCCCUGGCAAGGCCCUCCCUCUGGCCUUUGGCAGCUGGGCUGGUAUUCAUUCGCACCACCUCUCGGGCCCCUGGUCCUCCCUCUGCACCUCCAGCGAGCAGCAGCGCUUUCUGGCCAUUUUGGGAGCUGAGCUGCCAACUCAAGGCUNUCUGGCCAUUUUGGGAGCUGAGCUGCCAAGUCAAGGGUCGCUCUUGUGUGUGUGUGUGUGUGUGUGUCUCUCUCUCUGGGCAGCUUCUGCCGCCCACGGUGCCCUCCAACCUUCCCUCUGGGGGGGGGGAGAAUGUGUGUGGGAUGGUUGUGGUGAUGCUGUGGGGGGGGAGCGGAGGGGGGCGGCUGCACUCCCCAUAAGCCCAGAGGCACCCCUAAGGCACGUGACAAAACCGCUGGCUCCGGCCAAGGGGCAGCCUUCUGCAGAAGGAGGAAGUUCCAGACUUGGGGAAGAGGAAGGAAGGAAGGAAGGAAGGGGCCGAAACGUGGUUUCAGGCAUGGGGGGGGUCAGGAGGAAGAGGAAGCGGUGGGGAAGGGGGGGGGAGCCUGUCCUUCUCUCCCCAGCUGACUGGCCAGAGCGGAACCNNNNNNNNNNNNNNNNNNNNNNNNNNNNNNNNNNNNNNNNNNNNNNNNNNNGCCCUGGGAGGAGGAGCCUCUUCCUCAGCAGCCUUUUAAAAGGUGGUUCUCCAAAGAGUCCGUUCCCCCCCCCCGACCCCUCCCCAAGCCAGCCUGAGGCCGGCGGGUUCUUCUCUGCCUCUUGGCUAUUUCUGUCCGGGCUCUGGGGCGCUGCCAGGCCCCUCCCUGGGAGGGAGAAGAUCUAUUUCAGGUGUGACCCUCUGCCAGCCCUGCCCCCCCCAAGGGCCCUCUCUGGCUGCCAAAGCUUCCCCACCUCGCGAGAAGUGGGGGUGGGGUGGCGGAGGUGGCGGGGAGGCGAAAAAAUACCUUCCUGGCUCUUGCGCUUGUGA